GCAUCUAGUAGCUGUUUGAACAUCUGUAUGGACUCUGAUAAAACCACUUCUUCACGCAGAUAAUUCCACAUACUUAUUGUUCAUACAGUAAAAAAAACCUUUCCUUUGCGUUAGACAAAAUCUUCUUUCUUCCAGUCUAAACGCAUGACCUCGUGUCCCAUGAAAAGUCCUGUUUGUGAAUAGAUUUCAACACAAUGGUUUGUAUUGGCCCCAAAUAUAUUUGUGUAAUGUUAUCGUAUCC